GCUGAACGCUGGCGGCGUGCCUAACACAUGCAAGUCGAGCGGCAGCGAGGGGUGCUUGCACCCUGUCGGCGAGCGGCGGACGGCUGAGUAACGCGUGGGAACGUGCCCCAAAGUGAGGAAUAACUGCCCGAAAGGGUAGCUAAUACCGCAUAUUAUCUUCGGAUCAAAGGAUUUAUCCGCUUUGGGAGCGGCUCGCGUCGGAUUAGGUAGUUGGUGAGGUAAUGGCUCACCAAGCCGACGAUCCGUAGCUGGUCUGAGAGGAUGACCAGCCAGACUGGAACUGAGACACGGUCCAGACUCCUACGGGAGGCAGCAGUGAGGAAUCUUCCACAAUGGGCGAAAGCCUGAUGGAGCAACGCCGCGUGCAGGACGAAGGCCUUCGGGUUGUAAACUGCUUUUAUAAGUGAGGAAUAUGACGGUAACUUAUGAAUAAGGAUCGGCUAACUACGUG
rnacentral:rRNA from 1 species